UGGGGAAUAUUGCACAAUGGGCGCAAGCCUGAUGCAGCCAUGCCGCGUGUGUGAAGAAGGCCUUCGGGUUGUAAAGCACUUUCAGCGGGGAGGAAGGCGUUAAGGUUAAUAACCUUAUCAAUUGACGUUACCGACAGAAGAAGCACCGGCUAACUCCGUGCCAGCAGCCGCGGUAAUACGGAGGGUGCAAGCGUUAAUCGGAGUUACUGGGCGUAAAGCGUACGCAGGCGGUUGAUUGAGUCAGAUGUGAAAUCCCCGGGCUUAACCCGGGAAUUGCAUCUGAUACUGGUCAGCUAGAGUCUUGUAGAGGGGGGUAGAAUUCCAUGUGUAGCGGUGAAAUGCGUAGAGAUGUGGAGGAAUACCGGUGGCGAAGGCGGCCCCCUGGACAAAGACUGACGCUCAGGUGCGAAAGCGUGGGGAGCAAACAGG
rnacentral:rRNA from 1 species